GACGGAGGGUGCUAGCGUUGCUCGGAAUCACUGGGCGUAAAGCGCACGUAGGCGGAUUGUUAAGUCGGGGGUGAAAUCCUGGAGCUCAACUCCAGAACUGCCUUCGAUACUGGCGAUCUUGAGUCCGGGAGAGGUGAGUGGAACUCCGAGUGUAGAGGUGAAAUUCGUAGAUAUUCGGAAGAACACCAGUGGCGAAGGCGGCUCACUGGCCCGGUACUGACGCUGAGGUGCGAAAGCGUGGGGAGCAAACAGG
rnacentral:rRNA from 1 species